UACGUAGGGGGCUAGCGUUGUCCGGAAUCAUUGGGCGUAAAGAGCGUGUAGGCGGUCCGGUAAGUCCGCUGUGAAAGUCGGGGGCUCAACCCUCGAAUGCCGGUGGAUACUGUCGGGCUAGAGUACGGAAGAGGCGAGUGGAAUUCCUGGUGUAGCGGUGAAAUGCGCAGAUAUCAGGAGGAACACCAAUUGCGAAGGCAGCUCGCUGGGACGUAACUGACGCUGAGACGCGAAAGCCAGGGGAGCGAACGGG
rnacentral:rRNA from 1 species